GACGUAGGGCGCGAGCGUUGUCCGGAUUUAUUGGGCGUAAAGAGCUCGUAGGCGGCUUGUCGCGUCGAAUGUGAAAACCCAGGGCUCAACCCUGGGCCUGCAUUCGAUACGGGCAGACUAGAGUAUGGCAGGGGAGACUGGAAUUCCUGGUGUAGCGGUGAAAUGCGCAGAUAUCAGGAGGAACACCAGUGGCGAAGGCGGCGACCUGGGCAGAUAACUGACA
rnacentral:rRNA from 1 species